rnacentral:rRNA from 1 species
GAGAGUUUGAUCCUGGCUCAGGAUGAACGCUAGCGACAGGCUUAACACAUGCAAGUCGAGGGGCAGCAUGAUUUGUAGCAAUACAGAUUGAUGGCGACCGGCGCACGGGUGAGUAACGCGUAUGCAACUUACCUAUCAGAGGGGGAUAGCCCGGCGAAAGUCGGAUUAAUACCCCAUAAAACAGGGGUCCCGCAUGGGAAUAUUUGUUAAAGAUUCAUCGCUGAUAGAUAGGCAUGCGUUCCAUUAGGCAGUUGGCGGGGUAACGGCCCACCAAACCGACGAUGGAUAGGGGUUCUGAGAGGAAGGUCCCCCACAUUGGUACUGAGACACGGACCAAACUCCUACGGGAGGCAGCAGUGAGGAAUAUUGGUCAAUGGCCGAGAGGCUGAACCAGCCAAGUCGCGUGAAGGAAGAAGGAUCUAUGGUUUGUAAACUUCUUUUAUAGGGGAAUAAAGUGGAGGACGUGUCCUUUUUUGUAUGUACCCUAUGAAUAAGCAUCGGCUAACUCCGUGCCAGCAGCCGCGGUAAUACGGAGGAUGCGAGCGUUAUCCGGAUUUAUUGGGUUUAAAGGGUGCGUAGGUGGUGAUUUAAGUCAGCGGUGAAAGUUUGUGGCUCAACCAUAAAAUUGCCGUUGAAACUGGGUUACUUGAGUGUGUUUGAGGUAGGCGGAAUGCGUGGUGUAGCGGUGAAAUGCAUAGAUAUCACGAAGAACUCCGAUUGCGAAGGCAGCUCACUGGAGCGCAACUGACGCUGAAGCUCGAAAGUGCGGGUAUCGAACAGGAUUAGAUACCCUGGUAGUCCGCACGGUAACGAUGGAUGCCCGCUGUUGGUCUGAAUAGGUCAGCGGCCAAGCAAAAGCAUUAAGCAUCCCACCUGGGGAGUACGCCGGCAACGGGGAAACUCAAAGGAAUUGACGGGGGCCCGCACAAGCGGAGGAACAUGUGGUUUAAUUCGAUGAUACGCGAGGAACCUUACCCGGGCUUGAAUUGCAGAGGAAGGAUUUGGAGACAAUGACGCCCUUCGGGGCCUCUGUGAAGGUGCUGCAUGGUUGUCGUCAGCUCGUGCCGUGAGGUGUCGGCUUAAGUGCCAUAACGAGCGCAACCCCUCUCCUUAGUUGCCAUCAGGUUAAGCUGGGCACUCUGGGGACACUGCCACCGUAAGGUGUGAGGAAGGUGGGGAUGACGUCAAAUCAGCACGGCCCUUACGUCCGGGGCUACACACGUGUUACAAUGGCAGGUACAGAGAGACGGUCCAAUGCAAAUUGGAUCAAAUCCUUAAAGCCUGUCUCAGUUCGGACUGGGGUCUGCAACCCGACCCCACGAAGCUGGAUUCGCUAGUAAUCGCGCAUCAGCCAUGGCGCGGUGAAUACGUUCCCGGGCCUUGUACACACCGCCCGUCAAGCCAUGAAAGCCGGGGGCGCCUAAAGUCCGUGACCGUAAGGAGCGGCCUAGGGCGAAACUGGUAAUUGGGGCUAAGUCGUAACAAGGUAGCCG